rnacentral:rRNA from 1 species
GACGAACGCUGGCGGCGUGCUUAACACAUGCAAGUCGAGCGAGGCCCUUCCUUCGGGAAGGUGUCCUAGCGGCGAACGGGUGAGUAACACGUGGGCAACCUGCCCUCAGCUCUGGGAUAACCCCGGGAAACCGGGGCUAAUACCGGAUACGACCUCCACGGGCAUCUGCGGAGGUGGAAAGGUCUUCCGGCUGAGGAUGGGCCCGCGGCCUAUCAGCUAGUUGGUGGGGUGACGGCCCACCAAGGCGACGACGGGUAGCCGGCCUGAGAGGGCGACCGGCCACACUGGGACUGAGACACGGCCCAGACUCCUACGGGAGGCAGCAGUGGGGAAUCUUGCGCAAUGGGGCGAAAGCCUGACGCAGCGACGCCGCGUGAGGGAUGACGGCCUC